UACGGGAGGCAGCAGUGGGGAAUAUUGCACAAUGGGCGAAAGCCUGAUGCAGCUAUGCCGCGUGUAUGAAGAAGGCCUUAGGGUUGUAAAGUACUUUCAUCGGGGAGGAAAAAACAAAACUAAUAAUUUUAUUUCUUGACGUUACCCGAAAAAGAAGCACCGGCUAACUCCGUGCCAGCAGCCGCGGUAAUACGGAGGGUGCUAGCGUUAAUCAGAAUUACUGGGCGUAAAGAGCACGUAGGUGGUUUUUUUAAAGUCAGAUGUGAAAUCCCUGGGCUUUAACCUAGGAACUGCAUUUUGAAACUGAAAUACUAGAGUAUCGUAGAGGGAGGUAGAAUUCUAGGUGUAGCGGUGAAAUGCGUAGAUAUCUGGAGGAAUACCUGUGGCGAAAGCGGCCUCCUAAACGAAUACUGACACUGAGGUGCGAAAGCGUGGGGAGCAAACAGGGAUUUAGAUACC
rnacentral:rRNA from 1 species